AGAUCGGCUUAUUGGUCGUGCUUUUGUACGUACUGGUAUAAUCGGUUUCUCCUUUCUGACGAACUAUAAUGCCAUUAAUUUGGUGUUAUAGGGAAUCAGGACUGUUACUUUGAAAAAAUUAGAGUGUUUAAAACAGGCUUAUGCUUGAAUACAUUAGCAUGGAAUAACGGAAUAGGACUU
rnacentral:rRNA from 1 species